ensembl:lincRNA
AUGGGAGUCUCUCCAGGAGGAAGCAAAAAUGACCAAACCUGGCCCAAGAGAAAUCAAAGUCUCCCAAAGUGGGCCAGCCUUCAGGGCCCCACCACUGCCCUCCACGGGAUCAGGCGGGCUGCAGCCAAGUCUGGGGGCUCCACAAUGUCGGGGACCACAAGAGCCAAAGGGAAGAGACAGGGAGAGCCGGUGCCACGGGCCGCCCAGCUGCCGGCCUCACGUGCUGCCUGCCGAAGGCCCAGGAAGGCCGCAGAGCUUCCCAGGAGACAGAGCGGCCCGCAGCUUGACAAGUACAGAGUGCAGGCAUCACCCACCCUGCCAGCAACUCAGAAUCCUGGGGGUCAGAAGCAAAGAACACAGGACCCUGGAUUCGAGAAACCAAUGGCCAGAGGCGAUCAGCCAUCCAAGGCUGGCCUGUCAGUGGAUUGGCCACUAGGAGCUGCCGGGACGCUGGCUGGUGUGGUCACACCACUGGGCUCCGCGGCGCAACCUUAUUUCUCAGGCGCCCUCGGUGAAGCGUUGGGAGGUAAAAAGGUGCCAUGCAGGCCAAGCGCCUGCCUUAGGCUACGGGACAUAAACCAAACAUCUCGUUCCAGUGAAAUCUCGAGCGUGAAAACCCAGACAGGUCUGAGAUCGGAAUGCGGUCGGCUGGGGCGGAACAGUCCCUCCUCGUGGAAUUUCGAGUCUCAAUGGCUGCAGACUCACAGGGGCCUUAGAGAUCACCGCACCCACUCCCCACUGCACGAACCACAACAAGCUGGCACGACCGAUUCCCCGGUGCCUAAACCGUGGCCAGCACAUACUAGGUGCUUAACAAGCAUUUGUUGAAUGACUUAACGAAGUCCGAUCAGAAGAAAGAGAAGGCUGUCCAGGCCCAUCGGCCAGCCCACCGGGCAGGCAGCCGUCACGUGCAGAACUCAAACACGCAACACCAGACCCCACCGCUGAAGAUGCUGCCGCCCAGUCUGAUGUGCGACUUGGAUUCAGGAGUUUUUGGAACAAUCCCAGGAGCCCAAGGCCUGGCCAGAGCCCCCCCGCCGGUACCUGCAAACUGAGCACACAGGGGGAGGCAUCCACGAGCCUGGGAUGACCUGGCAGCAGACCCUCUUCCGGGCCACCACCGUGCCUCUGGGACCUGGGCUCUGCCCACAUUCACCCCCGGCUCCUGACAUCCCUGCACCCCCAGAAAGCCCCCCAGGAGGAGGCCUGCCCUUGGCCAGCUGCCUGUGACCCUCAGCCCAGUCCAGGUCCAGAGGUCACCAGUCAGGGCAGCAGGUCUCAAGGCCCGGAGCUCCCCUGUAAGACCAACAGCACUGCACUGCUCACACCCUGUGGCCUGGGGCCACCUCUGAGGCACUCAAGAGCCACCUAGAGCAGGUGGUGCAGGCCUGUAAUCAGCCUUCAAGAGGCUGAAGCAGGAGGACCACCAUGGGUUCAAGGCCAGCAGGGGGUACGUAAUGAGACACAACACCAAACAAGCAACCUUCAGGGCUGAUCCCUGAGAUCCCUGCCUGCCUCUGGCCAGGUCUCCCAGCCGCCAGCCCAGAGCCCUGCCAAAUCCUCCCACUCCUGCUGGCCCUGAUUCUACUCCUACCCCACCUGGGCGGGGGGCGAGGCAGGGCCCUGACCAUGCUUUCCUGCCAAGAACAGGCGUGGGCCUGCUCUCCCCUGCCCAGCCACUCCCACCCCUCCAGCACUCCCGCCCAGAGUUAAUGUACAAUCUGCACUGGGCACUAAUUACCGCAGGCACUAAUUGGCCACUGCACUGUUCGGGGGAGCUCUGCCCAGCCCAGGCGCUGCCUUGGAGCCCCCACCUGCCCCAACCCCCACAAGUGCAUCUCACGCAGUCCUUGCUGGGCACCUCCUGACACCGGCCCUGGGCACAGUACCGGCCAGGACCUCAGUCCCUCAGCCUCCAAGGCCAUGGGCAGGGACAGCCCUGGGGAGGGAAUUGCACGCUGCGGUUAGGAAGGGAAACCGGGCAUGGUGGUGUACACACGAUCCCAGCACUCCGGAGGAUUGCAAAUUGAAGCCCCAUCUAAGCACAAGUGACUUAACCAGACCCCGUCUCAAAAUUUUACAUUUUUAAAAGGGGUAGGAAUGUAGCUUGGUGCAAAAGCCCCAAUACUGCAAAAUUAGAUUUUUUUUUUUUGAGACAGGGUCUCACUAUGUAGUUGAGACCAACCUGGAACUCACUGUGUAGCUCAGGCUGAUCUCAAACUCACAGCGAUCCUCCUGCCUCAGGCUCCCAAGUGCUGGGAUUACAGGACAGGCAUGCGCCACCACACCAGGCUAGAAUUUUUUUAAUGUAAGGGAAUGGAAGUAGAUUCCGGACAGGGCAGAGUGAGAUCCAUGUGUCACUAAGGCCACCAAACCCCUAGGACACACUGAAGACAACCGUCCAUGCCACAGGACUGGGCCUGGGGCUCAAGGUCUCCUUGGCCACCCGGUUUCUAAGGGACACGGGAGCCGGGGGACCGGGCCACACUCAGACACCCAAGUUCCAGCUUCCUCAUUCAAAACCGGGUCCUGGUGCCCAGGGCGGUGCCCACUGAGAUGGGUGCUGAGUGUGAACAGUCACUCGUGGGUUCAUUCUGCCAGAGUACCUGGCACUGGAAGGGACCUCACCAGCACCUGGAAAGUUCAAAAGCCCAGACCCAGAGGGUUAAUCCAGCCUGCACACUGGCAGGGCCCGGCUGACCCUGCCCAGGCCAGAGAGGGUGGGACAGGUUUACUCAGGCAGGGCCUGCCCAAGAGGGGGAGCAAAGGUAAAGAGACUGAGCAGGGCCAGGUUCCAGGAGCCACACCUGGGCCCCAGGUGCUCGCAGAUCUGGGUGAGGGCAGCCGGAUGAAGUCAGGGCUGGAGCACGGUGGGGCCUCGACCAGGGAGGGGAGAUGGGGUGCGUGACGCUCAGAGGCCACAGGGCCUGCUCAGGACCGGGAAAACCUCGUUUCCCUUGGCUCUGCUGAAGCCCCACCGUGGGAUGCACCACACAUUCAGCCUGCACCUCCCCUCGCGUCCCCCACCCCCACAGCUUCCUAGGCGUUGCCUGUGCGCCUACUACACAAGGGGGCCUACACAUUGCUCUCCCAGAUGUGCACCCUCUCUGCAAGGGGAAACCACAUCUAGCGGGCGAGGCAGGAAUCUGAACACGGAAGAACAGGAGUGCCCAAGAUAAGGAGCAGAAAGGCUGGAAUUCCAGGUCAGACCCCGCUGGCAGGGCCACUAUGCAGGCAUUCCCCUUUCACCAGGACUAAAAGCACCAUUCCACGCGCCAGGCGUUGGCGUGUGCCUGUAAUCCCCGCACUCAGGAGGCUGAGGCAGGAAGAGUCCCAUGAGUUCAAGGCCAGCCUGGACUACACAGUGAGAUCCUGUCUCCAAAAAAACAAAAUAGGGGAAAGAAAAGGAACAGGCUGGCUCUGGGCCACUCUACCCCAUCUCCAGGGAACCCGCGGUUCCCAAGAGAAAUCCACACUCUCUGCCCUAUUCCUCCUCCCCGCCCUGUCCAGGGACAAGAACCGAUCCCCCAUCUCUCCAGCCCAGACUCUGUGGGGUGGCGGCCAGAAUUAAUUAAUGUUUGCACUGAGCUCUAAAGAACCUGGGACCUGGGACCCAGGGGCGCCAGAUGAGCAGCACAGGAAAUUGACGGAGAGGCGGGGAGAAGCGGGACAGGCGGCCCGGUGGCCUGGAAGGGGCGGGCUGAGAACAUGGUCUCA